rnacentral:lncRNA from 1 species
AAUAGUGCUGUGCUGUGCUGUGAUGGCUCUAAAUAACAAACCUGUUUGGGACAGUACAGCAACCAUAAAGAAAGGCUGUUUAAUUAAUCAAUGCCUGUUCAAUGUCCACAGCUUCACUUCUAAUGUGCAAAACUAUUGAUAAACCAUCUGGGUGUGCUUUCAGAUCUUCCAACGACCGGUUGCAGUGCUACGUCGACAUGGGUGAAAGCACGACGGUGUGUGAUGGAGCAUUGAUUAACUUGGUUGUCUCCCCAAGCCACUCCGAAGCAUCAGAGGCACAAAAAAAGCCGCUGUCUGGUAGUGCGGUUGGACAUGCGGAGAAUGCAGUCAAAGGACAGUGCAAGGAAUUGUCAACGUACACACUGCCUCUGAUGCCCAUUGACGUUGCUGCACACCUCUGAAAUAUUACAGCAGGAGGCGUGCCUGACAAUCUUCAAAAGAAAAUUGAAUGGAUUGCCUACAAUUCGUCAUCUCAGACAAUUUCUCAUGGUAUAUGUGCCUAAGAAACAAGUACAAAAACAUGCGAAAGUGAAUGCCACCAGGAUGCCCUGAAGUCGAUGCAGAAGUGAAAGCAAGAAAGGCAAGCGAAAUUGUGACACAUGCUCAAAAUCUGGAUUUUGAAGACGGGUGAUCAGCUGCAAGUUUGCAUGCAUAUUUCACUAGAUAAACUGACUCUCCUUUCUUUGUUAUGUGGCUUAGUUGAAACAUUUAGUUGCUUCUCUUGAUGUA